rnacentral:rRNA from 1 species
UGGGGAAUAUUGCACAAUGGGCGCAAGCCUGAUGCAGCCAUGCCGCGUGUGUGAAGAAGGCCUUCGGGUUGUAAAGCACUUUCAGCGAGGAGGAAGGUGGUGAGCUUAAUACGCUCAUCAAUUGACGUUACUCGCAGAAGAAGCACCGGCUAACUCCGUGCCAGCAGCCGCGGUAAUACGGAGGGUGCAAGCGUUAAUCGGAAUUACUGGGCGUAAAGCGCACGCAGGCGGUUUGUCAAGUCAGAUGUGAAAUCCCCGGGCUCAACCUGGGAACUGCAUUUGAAACUGGCAAGCUAGAGUCUCGUAGAGGGGGGUAGAAUUUCCAGGUGUAGCGGUGAAAUGCGUAGAGAUCUGGAGGAAUACCGGUGGCGAAGGCGGCCCCCCUGGACGAAGACUGACGCUCAGGUGCGAAAGCGUGGGGCAGCAAACAGGAUUAGAUACCCUGGUAGUCCAGCGCUGUAAAACGAUGUCGAUUUGGAGGUUGUGCCCUUGAGGCGUGGCUUCCGGAGUUAACGCGUUAAAGUCGACCGCCUGGGGGAGUACGGCCGCAAGGUU